rnacentral:lncRNA from 1 species
GUGCGCAAUGGUCAGAUAAGAGGUGGUCAGAUGAGAUAUGGAUAACAAUGAAGAUCCCACCUUUGUCUUCCAUGUUCUGGGUAUUUACGAGAUUUGUAUAAGAUGAAAGUUUCUGCAUUUUGUAAACGUUUGUAUUUAUUUUCGUAUUAAACAAUUAGAUUUUGUUCAUAUACAUUUUUGUUUAGAAACCAAAAGAAAAAUCUAUUAGUGAAAGGGUUAAAGCCGUGUAGUUCACAUGACAUACAUCAUACUACUCUCACAAACAAAAACUAUACGUUAAAGAACAACAUUUAUUAGAGCCAAAACUAUACGCCUCUACUGAGCCAUUAGAUCUUGUUUCACCAAAAAAAUCAACGGCCCAAACAAGA